rnacentral:rRNA from 1 species
GAUGAACGCUGGCGGCGUGCCUAAUACAUGCAAGUCGAGCGAACGGACGAGAAGCUUGCUUCUCUGAUGUUAGCGGCGGACGGGUGAGUAACACGUGGAUAACCUACCUAUAAGACUGGGAUAACUUCGGGAAACCGGAGCUAAUACCGGAUAGUAUUUUGAACCGCAUGGUUCAAAAGUGAAAGACGGUCUUGCUGUCACUUAUAGAUGGAUCCGCGCUGCAUUAGCUAGUUGGUAAGGUAACGGCUUACCAAGGCAACGAUGCAUAGCCGACCUGAGAGGGUGAUCGGCCACACGGGAACUGAGGCACGGUCCAGACUCCUACGGGAGGCAGCAGUAGGGAAUCUUCCGCAAUGGGCGAAAGCCUGACGGAGCAACGCCGCGUGAGUGAUGAAGGUCUUCGGAUCGUAAAACUCUGUUAUUAGGGAAGAACAUAUGUGUAAGUAACUGUGCACAUCUUGACGGUACCUAAUCAGAAAGCCACGGCUAACUACGUG